GGGAGUGAAAUAGAACCUGAAACCCUGCACUUACAAGCUGUGGAAGCACAUUUCUUGUGUGACCGCGUACUUUUUGUAGAACGGGCCAACGAGUUACGUUAAGUAGCAAGGUUAAGCACUUAAGGUGCGGAGCCGUAGCGAAAGCGAGUUUUAACUGAGCGUUCAGUUACUUGACGUAGACCCGAAACCGGGCGACCUACCCAUGAGCAGGAUGAAGCGAAAGUAAAAU
rnacentral:rRNA from 1 species